rnacentral:misc_RNA from 1 species
UUCGGUAUCCUGUGUUGCUUACCUAUCGAAAGGAAUCCGACGGUUUUGUUGGUCCCUCUCCGCCCUAUGCCCUCGCGGGUUGUGGGGUGGACGUCAGGCAAGCCUCGUGUUCCCGGCACGCUUCGCCCAGUUGCGUGGCUGCCUCGGCCCACGGGGUGCACUGCCCGUGCUCUCGGAUGCGGAACGUUAUGCGUGGGCGUGGGGUCUGUUGGCUCCGUUCGCCCGAGCAACGCACUUGUCCAUCGACGCGAACGACCGUCGCUCCCGUCUCGAGCCCGCGGCCGUCCGGCCCGUACGGGUCUCGUGCGGGCGUCGACGUCGCGAAGGAAUGCUACCUGGUUGAUCCUGCCAGUAGUCAUAUGC